rnacentral:lncRNA from 1 species
GUUUUCUUCUACCUGAGGCCCCAGGCAUCAGAGGCACCAGUGACCAACCACGUUCUGUCUGCAUUCCUGACCCACACAGCUCCUAAGCAUACCAAAUGGUUACGUCAUACCAACCUCUGGGUCAUUGGUUACACAGCCAUAGUAACUGGCACAGUGGGCAAAGUGAAAGAGAACACUGGGACCUCCCGAAAGCAGUUCCACGGCAGGAGUCGUCGGGUGGAACCCACCAGAGCAGUCUGGCCAGUGAAGCUGGCUUCCACCAGGUCUGCGAGGACGGAGGACCCACCUUGGCCACCUGCAGCCUCGUCCCGCUCCCCCAUCGCCCUGGCUGAGGAGGAGCCAGGGGCAUGGCUUCUGCCUGCAGGACGAGCCCUGGAAGGAAGAUGUUUAGGACUUGGGCGUGCACUCCCCACUGCGGCCUUCGUCAGCUCCCCUCCCGUGAGCUCCCCUCCCCGUGAGCUCCCCUCCCCGGGAGCUCCCCUCCCCGUGCUGCGGAGCGCGAUUAGCAGGACAAAGCUGGUGUCGGCCGCGGAGAGGGAGUGGCGAGCGCCUGCGGCCUUGCCCCCAGCUGGCUUCUUGGACCGGCAGCAGGGCCCAAACUGGGGAAGAGACCUAGGGAAUGGGAUCGCUUUGCCAAAAGAAGUCGUUUCUUAA